rnacentral:rRNA from 1 species
GACAGAGACCUCAAGUGUUAUUCGGAAUUAUUGGGCGUAAAGGGUGCGUAGGUGGAUCUGUUAGUCUCUUGUUAAAGCUCCCGGCCUAACCGGGAAGAUGCGAGGGAAACGGCAGAUCUAGAGUCUGUGAGAGGUAUGCGGAACUCAUGGUGUAGGGGUGAAAUCCGUAGAUAUCUGGAGGAACACCGGUGGCGAAGGCGGCGUCCUGGACCAACACUGACACUGAUGAGCGAAAGCCAGGGGAGCAAACGGG